rnacentral:lncRNA from 1 species
AUUAUUUGUUAAUGGAAUCAUCUAUUAUGUUGAGAGCUACAAUUUUGUCUCUUCUUUUGUAUUACCUAAUGUUUGUUGACAUAAUUUGUUCUCCACAUUGAGGACAGAAACAAACCGUACCCAACACGAGAGCCAUGAUAAAAGAAUUGUAUCACAUUCUAAUUUAUGGAACCACAUUUUGGUUUGUGUCUUUUGUUGAAAAUGUAGCAAAAUGUAACAACUAUUCAAACAUAUGUGAUUGAUAAUUGGAUUUAAGUAUUUUGGGCAGGCGGUUUAUAUCUAAUUAGUUAUUAUUGUUAGUUAAGUAGGUACAUUUGGUAGAGUUGGUUCACGCGUCGAAGUUUACGUGAGUUAUCGGGAUUUAAAUAAGGGGAGUAUAUGAUGUCUCAAUAAUUUCUUAUCGGAUGAAAGUAUAAGAAUUACAUACUCUGGUACUAAAAAUUGGAUUUAAGUAUUUUCGGUUGGUGGCUUGGAUUUAGUAAGUUAUUAAUAUUAAUUAGGCUGGGUCAUUUGCACCUGUUUGGAAUGUUGUAUAGAUUUAUUGUUUUUAUUUUUGAAAAUGUCAUAGUGUGUUGUUGUUGUAUUUUUUUUUUUUUUUUUUUU